GAUCAAGCGACUAAGUGCACGUGGUGGAUGCCUUGGCGAUCACAGGCGAUGAAGGACGUGCUCGCGAAAAGCUACAGGGAGCCGGCAAUGAGCUUUGAUCCGUAGAUAUCCGAACGGGGGAAACCACUAACUCCGCAGAAGGAGGUAUUCCUGCACUCAAUACACAGGGCAAGGAGGUGAACCGGGAGAACUGAAACAUCUAAGUACCCCGAGGAAAAGAAAUCAACCGAGAUUCCCUGAGUAGUGGCGAGCGAACGGGGAAGAGCCUGUACGUGAUAAUUCAUGUGUUAAUUUAGACAACGCAUUCUGGAAAGUCGGCCAGCAGGGGUGAUGUCCCCGUGCAUAGGAAAACUCAUGGACGGGCUGAGCGCACAGUAGGAGGAAGGGGGCACGAGAAACCCUGUCUGAACAUGGGGACCAUCGGACCAAGGCUAAAAGCCGGACUGAUCGACCGACAUGAACAAGUACCGUGAGGGAAAGGAGAAAAGAACUCCCGGAGGGAGUGAAACAGAUCCUGAAACCGCGUGCAAACAAACAGUGGAGCCUCGCAAUUGGGGUGACUGCGUACCUUUGUAUAAUGGGUCAGCGACUUACGUUGUGUGGCGAGCUUAACCGAAUAGGGGAGGCGUAGCGAAAGCGAGUCGGAGUAAGGGCGAGAAUCAGUCGCACGGCGACCAAGAAACCAGAUGAUCUAUCCAUGGCCAGGAUGAAGGUUGGGUAACACCAGCUGGAGGUCCGAACCCACUAAUGUUGAAAAAUUAGGGGAUGAGCUGUGGAUAGGGGUGAAAGGCUAAACAAAUCUGGAGAUAGCUGGUUCUCCCCGAAAACUAUUUAGGUAGUGCGUCGUACGGACACUUGCGGGGGUAGAGCACUGUAAUCGUUGAGGGGUCAUUAUGAUCUACCUCGCGAUAGCAAACUCGAAUACCGCAAAGUGAUAUACGGCAGACAGACGGGGUGUUCAACGUUCUAGGUCAAGAGAAUAACCCAGACCGCCAGUUAAGGUCCCAAAUGCAUGGCUAAGUGGAAAACGAAGUGGGAAGGCAUAGAUAGCUAGGAGGUUGGCUUAGAAGCAGCCACCCUUUAAAGAAAGCGUAAUAGCUCACUAGUCGAGUCGUCCUGCGCGGAAGAUGUAACGGGGCUCAAGCCAUGAACCGAAACUGCGGAUGCGCAUUUAUGCGUGUGGUAGGGGAGCGUUCUGUAAGCCUGUGAAGGUGUUCCGGGAGGAAUGCUGGAGGUAUCAGAAGUGCGAAUGCUGACAUGAGUAGCGAUAAAGCGUGUGAAAAGCACGCUCGCCGAAAGCCCAAGGUUUCCUACGCAACGUUCAUCGGCGUAGGGUGAGUCGGCCCCUAAGGCGAGGCAGAAAUGCGUAGUCGAUGGGAAACAGGUCAAUAUUCCUGUACCGAUUCUUGAUGCGAUGGGGGGACGGAGAAGGUUAGGCCAGCCGGGUGUUGGAAGUCCCGGUUCAAGCCCGUAGUCGUGCUGCAUAGGCAAAUCCGUGCGGCUUAGAUGAGAGGUGAUAACGAGCGAACUUGUUCGCGAAGUGGUUGAUACCAUGCUUCCAGGAAAAGCCUCUAAGCUUCAGUCAAGAAUCGACCGUACCGCAAACCGACACAGGUGGGCAGGUUGAAAAUACCAAGGCGCUUGAGAGAACUCGGGAGAAGGAACUCGGCAAAUUGAUACCGUAACUUCGGGAGAAGGUAUGCCCCGGUAGCUUGUAGGAGUACAUCCGAAGGGCGAUGGGGCCGCAGAGAAUCGGUGGCUGCGACUGUUUAUAAAAACACAGCACUCUGCAAACACGAAAGUGGACGUAUAGGGUGUGACGCCUGCCCAGUGCCGGAAGGUUAAGUGAUGGGGUGCAAGCUCUUGAUCGAAGCCCCGGUAAACGGCGGCCGUAACUAUAACGGUCCUAAGGUAGCGAAAUUCCUUGUCGGGUAAGUUCCGACCUGCACGAAUGGCGUAACGAUGGCCACACCUGUCUCCUCGAGACUCAGCGCAGUUGAAAUGUUUGUGAAGAUGCAAUCUCCCCGCGGCUAGACGGAAAGACCCCAUGAACCUUUUACUGUAGCUUUUGCAUUGGACUUUGACGGGACUGUGUAGGAUAGGUGGGAGGCUUUGAAGCCAGGACGCUAGUUCUGGUGGAGCCAACCUUGAAAUACCACCCUGGUGUCGUUGAGGUUCUAACCUUGGUCCGUGAAUCCCGGAUCGGGGACCGUGCAUGGUAGGCAGUUUGACUGGGGCGGUCUCCUCCCAAAGAGUAACGGAGGAGUACGAAGGUCUUCUAGGUACGGUCGGACAUCGUACUGAUAGUGCAAUGGCAAAGAAGGCUUGACUGCGAGACCCACAAGUCGAGCAGGUGCGAAAGCAGGUCAUAGUGAUCCGGUGGUUCUGUAUGGAAGGGCCAUCGCUCAACGGAUAAAAGGUACUCUGGGGAUAACAGGCUGAUUCCGCCCAAGAGUUCACAUCGACGGCGGAGUUUGGCACCUCGAUGUCGGCUCAUCACAUCCUGGGGCUGUAGCCGGUCCCAAGGGUAUGGCUGUUCGCCAUUUAAAGUGGUACGCGAGCUGGGUUUAAAACGUCGUGAGACAGUUUGGUCCCUAUCUGCCGUGGGCGUUGGAAGUUUGAGGGGACCUGCUCCUAGUACGAGAGGACCGGAGUGGACGAAUCUCUGGUGUACCGGUUGUCACGCCAGUGGCAUUGCCGGGUAGCUAAAUUCGGAAGAGAUAACCGCUGAAAGCAUCUAAGCGGGAAACUCGCCUCAAGAUGAGACUUCCCUGGGGAUUCAAUCCCCCUGAAGGGUCGUUCAAGACCAGGACGUUGAUAGGUCAAGUGUGGAAGCGCAGUAAUGCGUUAAGCUAAUUGAUACUAAUUGCCCGUGCGGCUUGAUCCU
rnacentral:rRNA from 1 species